UGGUGGAGUGAUUUGUCUACUUAAUUGUGAUAACGAACGAGACCUCGGCCUGCUAAAUAGUAAUGCAAAUCUUCUACUUGGGUGAAGCUGUGAAGCAGGGGCUCGUUAGGGCAACCUAGCGGGACCCCUUCGCAGUGGAUCCUUGAAGCAUUUGUAGGCAACUUCUUAGAGGAACAACUGGUAUCAAGCUAGGGGAAGAUCGAGGCAAUAACA
rnacentral:rRNA from 1 species